GGCCAAGUUAUUUAGGGCACACGGUGGAUGCCUUGGCAUCAGGAGCCGAUGAAGGACGUGGGAGGCUGCGUUAAGCCUCGGGGAGUCGCCAACCAGACGUUGAUCCGGGGAUGUCCGAAUGGGGAAACCUAGCACCAGUCAUGUGGUGUUGCCGCCGUCUGAAUGUAUAGGGCGGUUGGUGGUAACGCGGGGAAGUGAAACAUCUCAGUACCCGUAGGAGAAGAAAACAAUUUAGUGAUUCCGUGAGUAGUGGUGAGCGAAAGCGGAGGAGGCUAAACCGUGCGCGUGUGAUAGCCGGCGGGCGUUGCGUGUGCGGGGUUGUGGGACCUUCCGGAGGAGACCGCCGUCUCUUCAGGCAGUGAGAAAUCGGUGGGGUAGUCGAACGCUCUGGGAAGGGCGGCCGUAGACCGUGAUAGCCGGGUAGGCGAAAUCUUGCCGACUGUUGGGAGUGUUCCCGAGUAGCGCGGGGCUCGAGAAAUCCUGUGUGAAUCUGCCAGGACCACCUGGUAAGCCUAAAUACUUCCUGAUGACCGAUAGUGAACGAGUACCGUGAGGGAAAGGUGAAAAGCGCCCCGGUGAGGGGUCGUGAAAUAGUACCUGAAACCGUGUGCCUACAAGCCGUAGGAGCGUAAACAAGCUUGCUUGUUUGUGAUGUGACUGCGUGCCUUUUGAAGAAUGAGCCUGCGAGUUAUGGUGUGUGGCGAGGUUAACCCGUGUGGGGGAGCCGUAGCGAAAGCGAGUCUGAAUAGGGCGUUUGAGUCGCAUGCUGUAGACCCGAAGCGGGGUGAUCUACGCAUGGGCAGGUUGAAGCGUGGGUAAGACUGCGUGGAGGACCGAACCCACCAGGGUUGAAAACCUGGGGGAUGACCUGUGUGUAGGGGUGAAAGGCCAAUCAAACUCCGUGAUAGCUGGUUCUCCCCGAAAUGCAUUUAGGUGCAGCGUUACGUGUUGCUUGCCGGAGGUAGGGCUCUGGAUGGCUGAUGGGCCCGACAAGGUUACUGACGUCAGCCAAACUUCGAAUGCCGGUAAGUUGAGCGUGGCAGUGAGACUGCGGGGGAUAAGCUCCGUGGUCGAGAGGGAAACAGCCCAGAUCACCGACUAAGGCCCCUAAGCGUGUGCUAAGUGGGAAAGGAUGUGGAGUCGCAGUGACAACCAGGAGGUUGGCUUAGAAGCAGCCACCCUUGAAAGAGUGCGUAAUAGCUCACUGGUCAAGUGAUUCUGCGCCGACAAUGUAGCGGGGCUCAAGUACACCGCCGAAGUCGUGGCACCACCGGUUUUGUGCUGGUGGUGGGUAGGGGAGCGUCGUGCGAACCGGUGAAGCCGCCGAGUGAUCGUGUGGUGGAGGUCGUGCGAGUGAGAAUGCAGGCAUGAGUAGCGAGUCAGAAGUGAGAAUCUUCUGCGCCGAAUGACCAAGGGUUCCUGGGGCAGGUUCGUCCGCCCAGGGUAAGUCGGGACCUAAGGCGAGGCCGACAGGCGUAGUCGAUGGACAACGGGUUGAUAUUCCCGUACCCGCUGUGAUGCGCCCAUAUCGAAUCCAGUGAUACUAAGGGUCCUUAACCCGGUUGGCUCUUCGGAGCCGGCGUCAGGGUGAACGCCUGGCCUGAUCUGGUAGUAGGUAAGCGAUGGGGUGACGCAGGAAGGUAGCCCAGCCCGGGCGGUGGUUGUCCCGGGGUAAGCAUGUAGGGGGAGAGAUAGGCAAAUCCGUCUCUCAUAUUCCCUGAGGUGUGAUGCCGAGCCGAUUGUGGCGAAGUGGGUGAUCCUAUGAUGCCGAGAAAAGCCUCUAGUGAGUGUCGCGGCGGCCCGUACCCUAAACCGACUCAGGUGGUCAGGUAGAGAAUACCAAGGCGGUCGGGUGAACUGUGGUUAAGGAACUCGGCAAAUUGCCCCCGUAACUUCGGGAGAAGGGGGACCUUUACUGGUGAUCGGACUUGCUCCGUGAGCUGGUGGGGGUCGCAGUGGCCAGGGGGAAGCGACUGUUUACUAAAAACACAGGUCCGUGCGAAGUCGUAAGACGAUGUAUACGGACUGACGCCUGCCCGGUGCCGGAACGUUAAGGGGACCGCUUAGCCAGCACUUGUGUUGGCGAAGGUGAGAACUUAAGCGCCGGUAAACGGCGGUGGUAACUAUAACCAUCCUAAGGUAGCGAAAUUCCUUGUCGGGUAAGUUCCGACCUGCACGAAUGGCGUAACGACUUCCCCGCUGUCUCAACCACAGGCCCGGUGAAAUUGCAGUACGAGUAAAGAUGCUCGUUUCGCGCAGCAGGACGGAAAGACCCCGGGACCUUCACUACAGCUUGACAUUGGCGUUUGGAGCGUCUUGUGUAGGAUAGGUGGGAGACUGGGAAGCGGUAACGCUAGUUAUCGUGGAGUCAUUGGUGAAAUACCACUCUGGUCGUUUUGGACGUCUAACCCGCGCCCGUGAAUCCGGGUGGGGGACAGUGUCUGGUGGGUAGUUUAACUGGGGCGGUUGCCUCCUAAAAGGUAACGGAGGCGCCCAAAGGUUCCCUCAGCCUGGUUGGCAAUCAGGUGUCGAGUGUAAGUGCACAAGGGAGCUUGACUGUGAGACUGACGGGUCGAGCAGGAGCGAAAGCUGGGACUAGUGAUCCGGCAUCGGCGUGUGGAAGCGGUGUCGCUCAACGGCUAAAAGGUACCCCGGGGAUAACAGGCUGAUCUUCCCCAAGAGUCCAUAUCGACGGGAUGGUUUGGCACCUCGAUGUCGGCUCGUCGCAUCCUGGGGCUGGAGUAGGUCCCAAGGGUUGGGCUGUUCGCCCAUUAAAGCGGUACGCGAGCUGGGUUUAGAACGUCGCGAGACAGUUCGGUCCCUAUCCGCUGCGCGCGCAGGAGACUUGCGAGGGGCUGUCCCUAGUACGAGAGGACCGGGACGGACGAACCUCUGGUGUGCCAGUUGUUCCGCCAGGAGCACGGCUGGUUGGCUACGUUCGGUAGGGAUAACCGCUGAAAGCAUCUAAGCGGGAAGCUCGCCUCAAGAUGAGGUCUCCCACCACCUUGUGUGGGUAAGGCCCCCUAGAGAUGAUGGGGUUGAUAGGCCGGAAGUGGAAGCGCAGUAAUGUGUGGAGCUGACCGGUACUAAUAGGCCGAGGACUUGACCAU
rnacentral:rRNA from 1 species